rnacentral:snoRNA from 1 species
AGCAAAGUGAUGAGAUCAUAAAUGAGCUGAAUUUCUCAGUGUGGAAAUAACUCAGAUUAUUGGCUUUCAAAGUUCUCUGAUUGCU